AAAUGGCAUGUUCCUAAAUGUCUCUCAUGGUGGGCUCUCCAGCCAGAGGAAGGGACCCCCACCCCCCAGACGAGAGUCUGAGCAGUAACACAUCUGAGCCUGGGACAUCUUCCAGAGUAUAGCAUGAGACACCUGCCAGUCUACACUAUGGUGGGAAAUCUCCAUGUGGAAAAUGGAGAGACAGAGCAGCUGAGGAGGGCUGAAAUCCAGGCAGUGUUAAUCAACUCCUUCUGCACAAAGUCAGUGGUUCUGCCUGUCCCCACUCCUGAAGUGCUGGCCUGGCUGCACAGCUGCUCAGAGCCCACAGGAGGCACCUGGAAGAGGGUGACUCUAGACUCCUUGUUUCUGAAAUAGGUUCUCAGUAGGCAGCCCCAGCUGUUCUGAAACUCCAUAUAUAGGCCAGGCCAGUCUCAAACCUGCCCCUGUCCCCUGAAUGCUGAGCGUAAAGACGUGUGCCAUCGAGUCUGGCUUGACUUCAAGACUUAUCAAGACUUACCAAAUGUUGAAUCAAGGUUAACUUUGGGUCCGUCUGUCUGCCUGGAGAUGGUACCAGGGUAAGUGGAUCAACAAGAACCCACAAUGUAACUGCACAGAGUUCAGGUCUCUGCCUCUCAACGAAGACGAUAAAUCUAAGGGAAGUGACAAAGGAAGGGAGAGACUUAUUAACAGGCGGUGUGUUGGAAACCGGCUGACAGAGCAAGACUGCUGAAAUCAGUAUUGGAAGCGGAUUCUGCUGAGACCUUGGCGGCAAGUGCUCUACCACUGAAUGUACCCUCAGCGCCAUACAAGGAAGGGAGAAAGCCUACACCAUGGCAGACUAAUAUGGCUGCACUGGGCUAGGACGUGGCAGUCAACGACAAUGCCAACAUUGUGUUGUGGUAA
rnacentral:lncRNA from 1 species